rnacentral:rRNA from 1 species
AGUGAAGCGGCAAAAGCUCAAAUUUGAAAUCCCCCGGGAAUUGUAAUUUGAAGGUGGCCUCAGUUAGUCCAAACAUUCUUAAGUCCAUUGGAAAAUGGCGCCAUGGAGGGUGAUAGCCCUGUAAAGAUGUCGUUUGUUCUAUUUUCUCUGGCCACCAAAGAGUCGAGUUGUUUGGGAAUGCAGCUCUAAGUGGGUGGUAAAUUCCAUCUAAAGCUAAAUAUUGGCGAGAGACCGAUAGCGAACAAGUACAGUGAUGGAAAGAUGAAAAGCACUUUGAAAAGAGAGUGAAAAAGUACGUGAAAUUGUUGAAAGGGAAGGGCUUGCAAGCAGACACAACCUCGUGUUGGGCCAGCAUCGGGGCGAGAGGAAGUAAAAACGAUUUGGAAAUGUAA